GCAUUUUGCAGAGUCACACGUGCAUAUCAUGACUGAGUGAGGAUUUGAAUCAAGGUUUUCAUGGCUCUAGUCUGGCACACUAACCACUGUGCUGCACUGUCCAUAUUUUGACAUUGGUCAGGAUCACAAAAAGAGGGGAGGAAGAGAGAUGCUGGGGAUUGAACCUUGGUCUUCCUUGAACCUUAACCAGCAAGUUGAUGGUUCUGUAUUUCUGGAAGUUAAGAAAUACAAAAAAAUUAAUAAUGGGGAUCUCAAGUCUUUUAAGUCUUGGUCCUUAAGAAGUCAAAAACAUCACCUUCCAGAUACAAGGGGGAAGUGGCAAAAGGCUUGGGAUAACCCAAAGUUAUGCAGAAGUUCAACAAAAAAGGGGGAGACACACCCCAAGCAUCCCAAUGAGAACUGAGCCUCCUCCAUGGCCCUAAACUCUUUACUGACCACAGGGAAAGGAACUGUAGGGGAAGGGGGCUAGAGUAUUUUGAAAAGAGGGCAGGGGGUGGAAUAUACUGGAAGGGAGCAUGACUGAACAGUUGCACUCCACACUGUCAGGUGGAUUGUAGCUCAGUGGUGGAACAUCUACUUUGCAUGCAAAAGUUCCCAGGUUCAAACCCCAGUUAUGUCCAGGUAGGACUGGGAGAAACUCAUUUCUCAUUUAUGUUAAGUUUUGCUGAUGCUGGCUCCCAGCUGCCCAUCUAUCCCAGAAUGAGCUGUGUGUUUAUCAUGCUGCUGUGAGCAAGGAUGCUAUCGGAUCUGAGUGGGCUGGGUGGAUUUAAUUCCCGCAAAUCCUCUCCGGAAUUAUUUAUCUUGGUCAAUCCUGUGGGUGUCUGGGAGUAACAUCAAGGAGAAAAGCUGUUUAUGUCUGGCAUGCAGCUUCUCGGAACUGUAAACCGAAUCUGACUUCUGCUUAAUAUAUAGAUAGAGCAACACACCAAAGUUCCAAAGUUGUGGUUUUCCCAUUGUGAAGAUGUGUCUGAAGCAUAAGAGAAACCAAAAGUUAAAAUUAUAACCCUAGCACAAUUUUGUUUAAAGGUGGCAAUUGGAGAAGAUCAUGUUUAUUUAUUUGUACGCAGUAAGCUUACUUGUUAUGCACAAAGAUGGAUAGCAGUUUGGUUCUCUGAUGCCAUUUCAGAAAAUCAGCUUCUUUUGAGCAGCGAUUUCGAAUACAGUAGUGCAGGGUCCGUGUGUGUGUGUGUGUGUGUGUGUGUGCAUGGCCCAUUCCAUGCCUGUCCUUCAAUUGCCCCCUUUUUUCAGAAGGUGCCCCAAAGGUGUGUUUACCUAUGUUUGGAACACCUGUGAGGGAAAAGAACUUGGGGGGAAGGGGGCACUGAUUCAGAAUAGCGGAAUCAGGGAUAAGUGGUAAGCCACCCACCCCUCAAUUUUAAGAAUUGCAACCCUCAGCAAUGUUCAAGUGGUCCAUGGCGGUGGUGGUGUUGAGUUUGGGAGCCACUGUAUUAGAGACAGACAUACAGCAUAUAGAUCAAAAAUUGAGUUGUUGUCCUUUGGAGUGACAGCCAGAAAUUUGAAGGGUGCAAUAGCAGUUCAUGUGAGUUUCUUCCUAUUGUGCAUUGUUUAAAAGUACGGUAAUUCUGUCAGAAACAAAGGUCUCAGCCCUAGCUAACACACAGCAGUCUUAGCAGGCUGGAAAAUAGCCCCCGUUUGCAGAUAAAAUAUAUUAACCAUGGCCUUGAAGAAAGCGUCAACACCCAGCAUACUGCAGGCUGCUGCCAUGUGAUCUGUUUCACAGGUGAACUUUUUUAGGCCUUAAAAUAAAAUUCAGCAGAUGGAGGAGCAUGCAAGCUAUUAAUGGUUCUUUAAAAAUGACAAUGAAGUCACUAUUAAUGAAAUAAAUAUUAUUAUUAGUUUAUUUCUGGGUUUUGCUUUCUCAUCUGAGUUUGCCAUGGCUCAGCUUCUUAUACUGUUGCUCCUUGCUACAUUCACCCAUUUCUGGGACUGGUUCAGACAACCUUUGAAAAAUCUGGUCUUGCCCUAAAUGAAAUCUCUGUUGGGAGGCAGUAUGCCUCUUAAAACCAGUUGCUGGGAAUCUCAUUUCAUUAGUUGUGAUUGCACCAUAUUCUGCAGCCCUGCAGAGGAACAGCUGGUUCCCUUCUCCCAGAACUGCCCACCACUAGGUUUGUUGACAUUGUCUGAAAGGUUUGGGCCUUUAAACUACUGGGCAGUGGGCAGGAAUUCAUAAGCUGAACUCAUUGCUUGCUAUAGCUUCUCAAACGUGUCUGUUGAAUUUUUAAAUUUUUUUUUGCCAAUAGUGACACAGAUAGCACCACAGGAGUGUGCCAGAAAAUGUGAAGUUCUCUUUAUUAUUGGUAAUGCCAUAACCUUUUUAAGAAUAGCUCAAAUCACAUAUAGCACAUUCUGAAGAGGGAAAACCAGAAAAAAUAAAAGGCAUUUUGUUAUUUUGAGCCAAGCUUGUAGGACCUGUUUCGUUGUUCUUGUUGUUUUGCUAAAGGGACAGCGGGAGGUACAAACUGUUAGGUAGCAAUAGGCUCAUUUGUCAUUUAUAUAUAUAAUAUGUGCAAUUCUUCUAUUGUCAGUUUAAGUUCCACCACACUGAAACCCAGCCAAAUCUUUGCAAUGAAAAAGAUACAAAAUGUUUGGGUGGAACUAUAAAGCUCCAGGUUUGGGAAUUUGGAACCACAGCUGUGAUUUUUUUCUCCCACAGUAAAGCAUUUGAAUUCUGCUUCAUUGUGCACACUUCACAGAGAGUAUUCUGCAAGGGAAAUGAGAUUAGGGGAUCUGAAAGGGAGAGAGAACGAGAGUCAGACAGAGGCUCUUCAGGAACUAGCACUGCUCAGGACCUCUUUCUCCCUUCUACCACCAAACACUGGCCAUCUGUUGAGAACAGUUGGCCAGAGAUGGAACUCAGGAAGUUGCAUUGAACCAGCAUAGAACAUAGGAACCAAGUCAGACGAUUGGCCUGUCUAGCUCAGUAUUGUCAACACUGAAUGGCAGCAGCUCUCUAGGGUUUCAAGGUAGUAAACUCUCCCAGCCCUACCUGGUAAUGUCUUGAGAUCGAAACUUUUGAAUGCAAAGCAGAAGCUCUGCCUCUGAGCUUUGGUCUGUCCUACAAAUGCCAGGCUGUUGAUUCUUGUAGCUUAGCAUUGUUGGCUUACCGUCUAUGUGAUCCCUUUAACUGAUGGCAACGCUGCUGGUAAUAUGUUCUGCAAUUCAAGCAGUGGUGUAGGAGUAAAGACUUGAGGGCAGAUACCUCUUUAAACUUUUAUCAUUACACAAUUCUAUGCACCGCUUCUCUGCUUGCUUCUUGAUCUUAGAACUUGGCCGUACUGGAGUUUCCUAGUCUUUUCAGUCUCCCCCAAGCUGUUUCCCGAACUUUUCCCUCCCCCCCCCCUCCAGAUUUCAUGUGGGGAAAGAUGGGCCACAACUGUGUGCAGUAUUCUUAGCCCACUGGCUCACUUCAAGGAACAUUGGGCUAUUUUUUGCAAAGCUGUGUUUCAAACCGCAUUUCCCCCCUGAAGUUCCCCCAGAUUGCGGCUUGCACGACAUUUCCCCAUGGGUCCGUUGUGGAGCGACAAAGUGGCAGCCAGAAGACAACAUUGGGGAGAGCAGGACCUGGAAAGCAAAUAGGUAUCUCAAAAUGACAGAGUGAAAUAUUUCCACUUGGGAGACACGAGACAGAGAUGCCUUUGCUCUAGGAGUCUGGAUCCCUGCCACCUGAACCACAAAACCUAGUU